GACGAACGCUGGCAGCGUGCCUAAUACAUGCAAGUCGAGCGAGCGGAACCAACAGAUUUACUUCGGUAAUGACGUAGGGAAAGCGAGCGGCGGAUGGGUGAGUAACACGUGGGGAACCUGCCCCUAAGUCUGGGAUACCAUUUGGAAACAGGUGCUAAUACCGGAUAAUAAAGCAGAUCGCAUGAUCAGCUUUUGAAAGGCGGCGUAAGCUGUCGCUAAGGGAUGGCCCCGCGGUGCAUUAGCUAGUUGGUAAGGUAACGGCUUACCAAGGCGACGAUGCAUAGCCGAGUUGAGAGACUGAUCGGCCACAUUGGGACUGAGACACGGCCCAAACUCCUACGGGAGGCAGCAGUAGGGAAUCUUCCACAAUGGACGCAAGUCUGAUGGAGCAACGCCGCGUGAGUGAAGAAGGUUUUCGGAUCGUAAAGCUCUGUUGUUGGUGAAGAAGGAUAGAGGUAGUAACUGGCCUUUAUUUGACGGUAAUCAACCAGNAAAGUCACGGCUAACUACGUGCCAGCAGCCGCGGNNAUACGUAGGUGGCAAGCGUUGUCCGGAUUUAUUGGGCGUAAAGCGAGCGCAGGCGGAAAAAUAAGUCUAAUGUGAAAGCCCUCGGCUUAACCGANGAACUGCAUCGGAAACUGUU
rnacentral:rRNA from 1 species